AGAGUUUGAUCAUGGCUCAGGAUUAACGCUGGCGGUAUGUCUAAUACAUGCAAGUCGAACGCGUCCUUGUGACGAGUGGCGAACGGCUGAGUAACACAUUGGUAUCUGCCCCGAACUCAGGGAUAACCCACCUAACGGUGGACUAAUACCGGAUAGUCUCGAAAGAGUAAAGAUUUUUCGGUUCGGGAGGAGCCUGUGGCCUAUCAGUUUGUUGGUGAGGUAAUGGCUCACCAAGACUAUGACGGGUAGCUGGUCUGAGAGGAUGAUCAGCCAGAAUGGAACUGAGACACGGUCCAUACUCCUACGGGAGGCAGCAGUAAAGAAUCUUUCACAAUGGGGGAAACCCUGAUGAAGCAAUACCGCGUGGAUGAUGAAGGUCGUAAGAUCGUAAAAUCCUUUUCUGAGGGAAUAAAUCUGAAGGUACCUCAGGAAUAAGCACCGGCUAACUCCGUGCCAGCAGCCGCGGUAAUACGGAGGGUGCAAGCGUUAUCCGGAAUUAUUGGGCGUAAAGCGUCCGCAGGCGAUUAGUUAAGUCAAAUAUUAAAUCACGGGGCCCAACUCCGUGGCCGUAUUCGAAACUGGCUAACUAGAGUAUUACAGAGGUGCGCGGAAUUCUGUGUGUAGGGGGUAAAAUCCGUAGAUACACAGAGGAACACCAAAAGCGAAGGCAGCGCACUGGGUAAUUACUGACGCUCAUGGACGAAAGCGUAGUAGCGAGCGGGAUUAGAUACCCCGGGUAGUCUACGCCGUAAACGAUGGAUACUAGGUGUUGGAGGACUCGACCCCUUCAGUGCCGACGCUAACGCAUUAAGUAUCCCGCCUGGGAAGUACGGUCGCAAGACUAAACUCAAAGGAAUUGACGGG
rnacentral:rRNA from 1 species